rnacentral:rRNA from 1 species
AACGAAUGCUGGCGGCAGGCCUAACACAUGCAAGUCGAGCGGGACCUUCGGGUCUAGCGGCGGACGGGUUAGUAACGCGUGGGAACGUGCCCAAAGGUACGGAAUAGCCUCGGGAAACUGAGAGUAAUACCGUAUGUGCCCCUCGGGGGAAAGAUUUAUCGCCUUUGGAUCGGCCCGCGUUGGAUUAGGUAGUUGGUGGGGUAAUGGCCUACCAAGCCUACGAUCCAUAGCUGGUUUGAGAGGAUGAUCAGCAACACUGGGACUGAGACACGGCCCAGACUCCUACGGGAGGCAGCAGUGGGGAAUCUUAGACAAUGGGCGCAAGCCUGAUCUAGCCAUGCCGCGUGGACGAUGAAGGCCUUAGGGUUGUAAAGUCCUUUCAGAUGGGAAGAUAAUGACGGUACCAUCAGAAGAAGCCCGGCUAACUCCGUG